UACAGAGGGUGCGAGCGUUAAUCGGAAUUACUGGGCGUAAAGCGUGCGUAGACGGUUAUUUAAGUCUGUCGUGAAAGCCCCGGGCUCAACCUGGGAAUUGCGAUGGAGACUGCAAGGCUUGAAUCUGGCAGAGGGGGGUAGAAUUCCACGUGUAGCAGUGAAAUGCGUAGAGAUGUGGAGGAACACCGAUGGCGAAGGCAGCCCCCUGGGUCAAGAUUGACGCUCAUGCACGAAAGCGUGGGGAGCAAACAGG
rnacentral:rRNA from 1 species